UACGAGUGCCCCAAGCGUUAUCCGGAAUUACUGGGCGUAAAGGGUGUGUAGGUGGUGAUGUUAGUCUCCUGUAAAAUUCUUCGGCUUAACCGGGGGCGCGCGGGGGAAACGGCAUUACUUGAGGGUGCGAGGGGCUGAUGGAACUCAUGGAGUAGGGGUGAAAUCCGUUGAUAUCAUGGGGAACACCGAAAGCGAAGGCAGUCAGCUGGCGCAUUCCUGACACUGAAACACGAAAGCGUAGGUAGCGAAUGGG
rnacentral:misc_RNA from 1 species